rnacentral:lncRNA from 1 species
AGAAAAAUAUGAGAAUUAAUAUGCAAAUAUGAAAUAUUGUGAGGAUUAAGUUGCAAAAAUUUAAAAAUAAAGAAAGAAAAGCAAAGGUGACGGGUACUACCACAAGUCACUCGUUUCCUUUAUUACUCCGCUUAUUUGGUUUAUGUAGAUGUCGCUUGUUUGUACAACAUACAAAGCGGCAUGUGGUGUCAAUUAGGAUCCCCA